rnacentral:rRNA from 1 species
UACGUAGGGGGCAAGCGUUAUCCGGAUUUACUGGGUGUAAAGGGAGCGUAGACGGUUAUGUAAGUCAGAUGUGAAAGCCCAGGGCUCAACCCUGGGACUGCAUUUGAAACUAUGUAACUAGAGUGCAGGAGAGGUAAGUGGAAUUCCUAGUGUAGCGGUGAAAUGCGUAGAUAUUAGGAAGAACACCAAUGGCGAAGGCAGCUCUCUGGGACGGUACUGACGCUGAGACGCGAAAGCGUGGGGGAGCGAAACAGG